CUUUUUCAAGAAUGACCACUGAAAAUGUUUAUCAAUUCAAAUGCCCCUGUAAUCAUUUUAUUAUGCUCUUUUGGUGGUCUUCCGAUUGUUUCUAAUAUGGAUGGAUGUGUUGGGUAUGCUUACGGUUGCUGUGAAGGCUUCGUAUGGAAUGAAGAGAAGAGGGAGUGUGUUAUAUGCCAAAAUGGAUAUUCCGGGAUAAAUUGCUCUGAAAUUUGUGAGUAUCCAAACUAUGGGGAG